rnacentral:rRNA from 1 species
UACGGAGGGUGCGAGCGUUGUCCGGAAUCACUGGGCGUAAAGGGCGCGUAGGCGGCGCGGGCAGUCAACGGUGAAAGCUUGGGGCUCAACCCCGAGUCGGCCGUCGAUACUCCCGGGCUGGAGCACUGUAGAGGCAGGUGGAAUUCCGGGUGUAGCGGUGGAAUGCGUAGAGAUCCGGAAGAACACCGGUGGCGAAGGCGGCCUGCUGGGCAGUAGCUGACGCUGAGGCGCGACAGGCGUGGGGAGCAA